UGGGGAAUUUUGGACAAUGGGCGAAAGCCUGAUCCAGCAAUGCCGCGUGUGUGAAGAAGGCCUUCGGGUUGUAAAGCACUUUUGUCCGGAAAGAAAUCCUUGGCUCUAAUACAGUCGGGGGAUGACGGUACCGGAAGAAUAAGCACCGGCUAACUACGUGCCAGCAGCCGCGGUAAUACGUAGGGUGCAAGCGUUAAUCGGAAUUACUGGGCGUAAAGCGUGCGCAGGCGGUUUGCUAAGACCGAUGUGAAAUCCCCGGGCUCAACCUGGGAACUGCAUUGGUGACUGGCAGGCUAGAGUAUGGCAGAGGGGGGUAGAAUUCCACGUGUAGCAGUGAAAUGCGUAGAGAUGUGGAGGAAUACCGAUGGUGAAGGCAGCCCCCUGGGCCAAUACUGACGCUCAUGCACGAAAACGUGGGGAGCAAACAGGAUUAGAUACCCUGGUAGUCCACGCCCUAAACGAUGUCAACUAGUUGUUGGGGAUUCAUUUCCUAGUAACGUAGCUAACGCGUGAAGUUGACCGCCUGGGGAGUACGGUCGCAAGAUUAAAACUCAAAUGAAUUGACGGGGUCAUAGCUGUUUCCU
rnacentral:rRNA from 1 species